UCCCGCACGCCCGCACCCCGCUCUGUCCUUGCCUCGCGGCUCCACUCCCAUAACCCUACCCCCUCCUCUCCUCUGCGCCGCCGCCGCCGCCGUCGCCAGUCCUACUCCCCUCACACCGCGCCCCCACGGCCCUUGAGGCGCUGCGCCAGAUCCAAUCCGACCACGGCGCCGUGCGACGCGACGGCGAGUGGGCGCCCGCCCUCCCCGUCCGUGAGCUCGUCCCCGGGGACGUCGUGCAGUGAGUGGGCGAGAGCAGUUGAAGUGAAGGCUCGAAGCAGGCAAGCAGCCGUGACUCGAUGGGGUGCGAGGCGGAGGCGGAGGAGCACGUCUCCGGUCUCCCCGAUUCCGUUCCGGUGGUGGCGUGAUGGGGCCCGCUGACUGGCCGAGCGGGUCAGCGAGCGAUGACGACGACCAAGGGAGAAGGGGAACGGCGCUGCAGCGGCGUGUUGGGGCCUAGGGAGCAAGCGACAGACGCGAUAUGCAGGCUGGGGCCAGGAGAGCUGACUAGAGACGAGGGUUGGGGAGACCGGAACACCCGGCACACCCUUUAGCUACGCCAAUGCCGCUCAAGGUCAGCCACUCCCUGCAUCCCACCCCUCCCGAUCUGUCUCUUUUCGUGACACAUGUAGAGCAAGCCCAAAGUCGUGGCUUAGGGCUCUGUCGAGACAUGGAACCGAAGCCGUGAGGCGGACAUCAUCAUUUUGUCAGACUAAGUGUGGAGUUACAAGUAUCAUUUUUUCACAAAGGAAGAAAUUCGGAGUAAUUUUCGCUCUUCAUGUUGUGAGAGAACCUGUUCAGUAGGAUGCCAACAUGCAUCAGGAAGCCAACGGACAGCCAGAGCUGGAAGGCAUGGAGCUUGAGCUGCAGUGACGAUGACAACUUGGGUGUCAGCUGCAAAAAACUACAGUUCAAAGUGUUCAACCAAGUGUAAGUUUGCAGUAAGUCAAUAAUUGCAGUUCUACAAUGACACAUUCAGACAUGCAUCCAAAGUUAGAUAGGAACAUGGAAAGAAUCUCCGAAACUUAUUUACAGGGGAGAGAAAACAUCACACCUAUUUUAUCUUCAGUGGUUGAACUCUCUUGUAGCUUCUGUUCAGAUCCUAAAGCUAUAUGAAGCACCAUAGGUUAAGUUUGCAAGCAAAAAGAUCACACAACCUGAUAGUACUGGUAGCAGUCUUUUUCUUCCAAAGUUUAGCAUUGAUGUCUAUCGAUUUGCAGGUAAGUUACAUGUGUGCGAAUGAGAGGUCGACCAACAAGUUGUUGAUUUCUUAAUCUCGGAAACUUGAUCCUUAUAUAACUGGCUAUCAGUUAAUUUUUUAUUGAACUUUCGGUCUGUUUAAAAUACCAGUACACGAUAUUCAGGUCCAAAGGUAAGUAGCAACCUAUUUGGGCAAGUUGCAAACACAUCCGGGAUCUGGAGUAGUAGAAAUUCCUAAGUGGAUUGGGAUAUUGACAUGCAGGGAUCAAAUUGGGUGUUGUUUUUCUACUCAAUUCUGCUCCUGAUGGUUUUGUGACUGACACAUGUACUCUUUUCCUGAUUUAGAUCUUUCCAACAUCUCAUGCCACGAGUCAAAACGAGUAGUACUACUCAUGUACAUUCUGAUCGUGCGCAUUAGCUUUGCUGGGUAGUAAUGAUUAUAGAUCAUGAUUUCUGCAUGUCUUAGACCCACCACUCCACCACUCCGCUCCCGGAGCUGGAGAUAAAAAGCACGGAGCUGGGAAACAGAUGCUCCGCAGCUCCUCGUAUGUUUAGGAGCUGAAGUGACUCCGAACAGGGCCUUAGUUUCAUGUUGUGCAGUUUGCUAUGGUGGCAUUAAUUCAUAUAAUAAGUGCAUAAUCAUGCCAUGAGUGACUAUGGGGCACUAGCAUUAAGAGCCUUAUUUUUUUCCUUCUGUUCUUCACUAAUAUAUUCUUCUUAACUAGUUUCUUUAAUUACCAAUAUAGGCCUUUAAUUUGUGUGCACCUAAUAUUAAAUCCUGAAGAAAGUGAAAUUAUGUAGUGUUCAAAAUUAUAAAGUGUACUUAAUUACAAAUAAUGUGCCUUAUAGAAGAACUGAGCCCUCAUAUUUUGUACUUAGAAUUUAGAACUAUACUUUGGUUGUUUGGUUUAGUAAUACUACUUGAGGCAGGCUUUUGAAAAUAUAUGUAAGAAGACCCGAGUACUCAUUCAAAGUGUAUUUGUAUUAACAUUCAUAUAUAUGUAGCUCUGAUAAGUGUUGGUGGGUUUAGUUUUUCAAUACCACAGCUGAUGUUUUCUUUAUAGAAUAAGAUGGAACUACACAUACCCAAAGUAACAUUUAGAAUUACUCAACUCUGACAAGCUUAGUUUCGUCACUACAUGUUACUGCUCUCGCGUGGCGCUUCGUGUGUGGCUGCUCGAUGCGUAAAGGCGAGAGAGGAUUGGAUCGGAGGAAACCCUACCCGACACAAUCGCUCCUCUGCCCCCCCCCCCCCUCUCUGGCCCGAGCCACCACUUCUCUGCGCCUCCCUGACCCACGGGAUCCUACCGCCGAUGCUCGAGACUCGGAGAGCAGCCGACGGCGGUGGAUAAGGAGAUCCAAAGCGAGCCGCUGCCGACGGUGAUGUUUGUACUAUUGCUUCUAAUCAAUGGUAUGAACGAUUUAGAAAAUCACUUUGUAUUAUUGCCUCUAAUCAAUGGUAUGAAAGAUUUAGAAAAUCAACCUACACACGGACGCGGUGUUUUGGCUUUUAGGUGCAUAUGCACCCAUUGUCUAAAUACACAUUUUGAAAAGUUGAAAAAUUCGGAACAAAAAUCCUGGGGGUAUAUCGGGACAUUCUAUGUGCAUGCACAAAGUUUCGGGGAAAAACCAUGUAUUUUUGUGGCUCGUGUAAAAAAGAUAAAGAAAUGCAAAAUGAAUAGUUGUAAUGAAGCAUCAGAAAUUGUCUUUUUUACACAAGCCACAAAAAACCUCGUUUUCCACCGAAAAGUUUGUGCAUGCACAUAGAAUGUCCGGAUAUACAUGCGGGAUUUCUGUUCGGAAUUUUUCAACUUUUCAAAAUAUGUAUUUAGACAAUGGGUACAUAUACACCUAGGAGCCAUUGCCAAUUUCCGCCUACACUAUCGCUUUAUAGGAAACAAUAUGGUGAACACCCAGUUUAUUACAUCGUUUAUGUUUGUGCUUUAUCCUGAUUGUAGUUUCAGUCAUAGGUCACGCACGGCACUAUUUCUAAUAAAAGGUCAUGCUUCUAUAUGGUGUUUAUUUGCUAUGAUGUUUACUAUCGGUGGUACCUUUAGAUUGUUGACUAUAUUUGUUUUGUACUCUAUUCUUCUAGGGUGAAUUUUGCUGUGAUUUCCGUGUGUCCAUCCAAAGGAAGUAGAUGAUUGAUAGAGAUUCAGAGGGAGCAAUUGAUAUAGAGAGUUGUUGUGGUUCCUAUUUCUUCAGGUAGUUACUUUUCUUGCAGUUUCCUUUUAGUUACGAGCUUCCUCUGCAGUAUAGUCAUUUCUUUAUUUCAUUACCAGUCCCUGUUGACUACAAUGUAACCAUGCAUUGGCAGCAUAAAUUGCAGCAGUUCUUAAUCAGUUAGAAAAAAGCAACCUGAUCAAUCUUGCUUCAGAUUAUGUUUCUAUUGCUAUUGCGGCCUGAGGUCCAUCCCCGAUCGCCCCUCCUCUCAAGCCGCUACGGUGGCCUAUAUGUUUUAGCGGGUUCCGUCACGCCGGGCUGCCCCAGUCCCUGACCCAGGGUUUGGUGGGCGAGCUCACUACCAUCCUCCCAGUGGUCUUCUUCCUCGCUUGAUUCUUGGGCGCCCCAUCUAUUCUGGACGAGCACCUUCCAGUGGUGGGUGAGGAGAUCUGGCAUGAACCACGCGCCGAGAGGAGCUCAAUUUCUGCUGCCUCUGCACGCCCUAGGCCUAAUCUCACCAAUCUUUGCUACACUUCACAUCAUGAGGGAAGGAGGAUGCGUCCAUCGCAACACUCAAGCAAAUCAGAUGACAAGGUGUUUGGAGCAAGCUACUCAUAGCCAACUACAUAGUUUAGUACAAUGCUGUAUUAAAGCAGUGUAAAUAAAUAACUUAUAUGGCCUACUUUUGGUAUAUAGUACCGAACCUUGAUCUUUAGGUAUUUCACGCUACAAUUGUUAACAAAUGCACCAAUGGUUUGUAACGAGAUUUGAUGUUUUUAGUUGGACCAUUACUGUUGUAAGUAAAUAUCAUCUUCUGCUUUUUGAGUAA